UGUGCGGGUGCCCGUCGCGAGAGUAGCUGCGUUGCGUCUCGGGAAGAGGCUGCUGCUGCCGCUGCGUCCCCCGUCUUGUCAGCGGUGGAUCGCGAACCCCGAGAUCUCGCGCGCGUGCGAGGGAGCGGACGGCGCCGACGUGCGAGGCGUGCGAGGACGGUGUUUCGUUAAACGGCGCGUCGCGUCGCGUCACGAGUUUUUUUUCUCUUCCUCCCUCCCCCUCCUCCCCCCGCGCAUCACGCCGGCGGUGAUUUAAAAACGAAGCGACUGCAUAUUUCGUGUAUGUACAGGUAGAUAUAGAAGUGUGUUGUGCUUGUACUACACCCCACCAUCACACCCUUCCUCCGCCGCGUCCCGCGCCUCCUCCCGAGAGUCUGUUUACCCGGGGCGCGCGACCGUGUCGAGUGUCAGCGACCCGCCGCCGACCGCCGUCCGAAAAUCCGCGACGGCGCGCUUCCGGUUAGGUCCGUGUGUGUCUACCUGGUCGCGUCCGCGUAUAUGACGCGGACGCCGAUGCACGCAAACUGCUGUCGGCCGCCGGGCUGUCUCUCUCCCUCUCUUCCUCUCUUCCUCACUCGCAGCCGAGAGAUGGUAAACACGUCGAGUGACAGCGUGCGCGAGUGAGAGGAAAGAGUUUCGACUCGUCCGGCCGAGGGGCGAGAAUCGGGGAUCUGCGAGGGAAGGAGCGUCCGGUAGGACCGCGGCCGGCCAGCACGGGCCCCGAAUUCUUCCUCACGUGGUUCAAGGCCGUCUAAAAGCGUCCGGACGUCACGAGUGCUUGCUCGCCCGCUCGCUCGCUUGCGCGCGUGCUUGUGACGACGCGCUUUUUCCACCGGCGAGGCGACGCCGCGCGAGAGAGCUGUCAGAGCGUCGCCGAGACUUUUCCCCGUUCCUUCCCGCCCGGGAUAUCGGACUACGAAAGCCUCGAAGUUCGUAACUCGUGUCCUCGAGCGGCGACGACGACCAAAACUCGAUGCACCGAAGAUCUGAGUCAGCCGACGAGGAGUCGUCCGUCCGCUGGCGACGAGGGGAGAACCGUGCCAAGUUCCGGUACCGCGCUCUUCCUACGUUUCGCUUCGAAUCCGUGACGUUAUCCCAUAGGCCGCCCUGCGCGGGGAUAGAUAACGUCCAUCUGUGAGCCACCGACUGUGAUUUCAACGUGUGACGCCACUGCCAAAAAGGAAAAACAAACUAGCGUCGAUUGCGAAAAACUUGCGUCUCCGCUUCCUUCGCCUUCCAAAAA